rnacentral:rRNA from 1 species
UCGGGAAUUUUGGGCAAUGGGCGAAAGCCUGACCCAGCAACGCCGCGUGAAGGAUGAAGUAUUUCGGUAUGUAAACUUCGAAAGAAUAGGAAGAAUAAAUGACGGUACUAUUUAUAAGGUCCGGCUAACUACGUGCCAGCAGCCGCGGUAAUACGUAGGGACCAAGCGUUGUUCGGAUUUACUGGGCGUAAAGGGCGCGUAGGCGGCAAUUCAAGUCAUCUGUGAAAUCUCCGGGCUUAACUCGGAACGGUCAGAUGAUACUGCUUUGCUAGAGUGCAGAAGGGGCAAUCGGAAUUCUUGGUGUAGCGGUGAAAUGCGUAGAUAUCAAGAGGAACACCUGAGGUGAAGACGGGUUGCUGGGCUGGCACUGACGCUGAGGCGCGAAAGCCAGGGGAGCAAACGGGAUUAGAUACCCCUGUAGUCCCUGAGCGGGCUGGCAAGGCGCAU